UAUAUUAUAAAUGUAUUUAUUUAAUAACAAAGUAAACAUGAACACAGCAAGAUAUACAAUGCCUGCAUCUAUACUCAGAAUUACUGUGUCAGCCUCGAAUGCAGAUGCCCAGACUUACGGACCAGUCACACCUGGGAGCAGUGCAGGUUGCCAUGGCAAUGGGAAAGGAGAGGAGGCUGUGUCACUUGUGCGCUGGCCUAAAGCACCUCUAAUUUCAAGGGAACAGGGGAGUUUAAUUCUUCCAUAGGCCUGGGACUUGGAAAACCUGAAAGCUUUGGUGUAACUAAGUUCAGGGCUCUUAACUGCCUGCGUGUAUUUGAGCACAUGGCAUUUGACAGGACACGGGGUAUGGCACAGUCCUCUGUUGGUUGAGACAAUCGCAUGCAUUUCACACCUGGCUCUGCCCACCAAUGCCAGUAAAGCUCCCCCAGGCAAAAAUGCUUUGAAAGUUUUCAGUAUCCGUCUUAUUGGCAGAGUGGCCCUCUUGAAGAACCUCUGUAUCUUUUCCGCACUACCUACAGAGGGAUCCAUACGGCGUUGUUCUGGAUUCCCGUCGUAACUUAAAGGGCAACUUUCACAAUGUCCGGAGCCCUUGAUGUCCUGCAAAUGAAGGAGGAGGAUGUCCUUAAGUUCCUUGCAGCAGGAACCCACUUAGGUGGCACCAGUCUUGACUUCCAGAUGGAACAGUAUAUCUAUAAAAGGAAAAGUGAUGGCAUCUACAUCAUAAAUCUGAAGAGGACCUGGGAGACGCUUCUGCUGGUGGUUCGUGCCAUUGUUGCCGUUGAAAACCCUGCUGAUGUCAGUGUUAUAUCCUCCAGGAAUACUGGCCAGAGGGCUGUGCUGAAGUUUGCUGCUGCCACUGGAGCCACUCCACUUGCUGGCCGCUUCACUCCUGGAACCUUCACUAACCAGAUCCAGGCAGCCUUCAGGGAGCCACAGCUUCUUGUGGUUACUGACCCCAGGGCUGACCACCAGCCUCUCACGGAGGCAUCUUAUGUUAACCUACCUACCAUUGCUCUGUGUAACACAGAUUCUCCUCUGCACUAUGUGGACAUUGCCAUCCCAUGCAACAACAGGGGAGCUCACUCCGUGGGUUUGAUGUGGAUGCUGGCUUGGGAAGUUCUGCACACGCGUGGCACCAUUUCCCGUGAACACCCGUGGGAGGUCAUGCCUGAUCUCUACUUCUACAGAGAUCCUGAAGAGAUUGAAAAAGAAGAGCAGGCUGCUGCUGAAAAGGCUGUGACCAAGGAGGAAUUUCAGGGUGAAUGGACUGCUCCAGCUCCUGAGUUCACUGCUCCUCAGCCUGAGGUUGCAGACUGGUCUGAAGGUGUGCAGGUCCCCUCUGUGCCUAUUCAGAAGUUCCCUACUGAAGACUGGAGUGCUCAGCCUGCCACGGAAGACUGGUCUGCAGCUCCCACUGCUCAGGCCACUGAAUGGGUAGGAGCAACCACUGAAUGGUCUUAAGCUGUUCUUGCACGGGCUCUUAAGCAACAUGGAAAAA